AGUUCAGCCAUAUCCUUUUUGAAAUGGUCUGGCCAGAACAAUUAUCAAGAUAUGAUCAUACUGUGGAUUGUAUAAUGGUGUAAUGAUGAUUCUUGUUCUUCCAGGAACACACAAACAGCUGCUAAAGAAGGCAUGGAGGUUAUCAUGCAGUGCUGUUCUCAAGGUCAGCCCACAAAUCUGAAACAAGACAGAAUUACAUACAGUUGGUGUAACAACAUUGCCAGUCACUACCUUAUUUUAGUGCAAAAAAGAUUUUAUAAAAUAUUCAUUCUGAAAUUCAAAACUCUACAGUGCUGAAUCAAACGUUUCUAAAACAACAUCUCCAGAAAGUGGAACAUCUUUCACUCACUCAGGAGUCUGAGAGCCACUGAAAGGACACUAAUUAUAUCAUUCUCCUAUGAGACAUGAAAGCCUACACUUUCAGAUGAAACUAAGCAAAAGAAGCUAAAUUUUCCAAUCCUUAGUGAAUGAUGUGGCCCUGGGGUGAGUGAUGCCUCAGUGGGACUGCAGGAGAUGAAUAACUUCUAUCCUCCCUUUGUCCACAGCUUGUAUGAGAAAAGACUGACCUCAUCAGACACCUACCACUAGGAAAGCCCUGGCUGUGAGUACCAGAGUACAGAAGGUGAAGGUGGGGAUGGAAAAGCAUAUCAAGCAAAAUGUGGAUAGAGUCAGCAGUAAAAGAAAAAAUGCAUGCUGUCCUCUACUGUGCAAAGCAAGCAUAAUUGCUGACAUGAAGCAGUUUGCACUUCUGGGAGGAAAAAAAUAGCCAACAAAGAUUCUUUACCAAUGACAAGAACAAACCUGGAAAAAAAAAAAAAAAAAAAAGAACACUGUUUUACAGCAUAACUUAAUGCUUACUCUGAUUUGAACAUAUUACAUUAAUACUUCUACAUUUACCUGGACUAUAAUCUUAUAUCCAUACUAUUUGCACUUUGUAGGUCUUCAUUUUGUAUUGUAAACUGAGUACUGGCCAUCCUCCAAAACAAACUCUUUCCCAUGUCCACAAUCAAAUGAUGAUAUGUGUUUAAACAUACAGUAAUGUAUUUCUUUAGUUAAAAAGCAAAACGAACAAAUUCCCUUGAACUUUCAACAAAGAAUUAGUGAUGUUCUAGCAUAUAUAGCAUUGCUAAAAUGUUUCUGAAUACAAUAUUUGCAAGAUUUCUUCACUUUUUAUAAAAUACCUUGCAAAUCUGACCUAUCUACCCCUAAUGCGAAUUCUAAUCUGUUGGGGAAGAAGAUUCACCAUUCACAACACGAUUGCUGCUUUUAGCAGUUGUAUGAGAUAUUACAAAUGUUUCUUCCCCAUGCGUAAGGAAGCAAAAGAGCAGUAGGAAUAGGAAAGUAUUAUACUCUUGGGAGAGGGUGUUAUCAUUGUCAUAGAGAGACACAUGAGGAGACACCCAGUGCACACAUUAUAGCAGUGCAGGAGAAUCUAAGAUGCUUUUACCUCCCUAUUAAACCCUACCUUGUAAUUCCUUGCCACAGUGUUGAGGACCCCUGUGUUGCCAGGGAAGCAUCAUGACUUCUCAAUAGCUCUUUAUUCUAUAUGUAGUUUGAAUGACUUCCAGCUUCUGACACUCGUGGAUGCAGCAGAGGACAUGGCCAGGUACAACUGCACAGGGAGGAGCUUUGGCUUCAUGAGAGAUGAGUGUGGCCACAGCUUCCCUACCUGCCUGCUGGUCACAGUGGGUCUGGUCUCUCAAGGCUGCAGUUUGCUGAAAGAGGUUUUAUGCACUGAAAACCCUCUAGGAAAAAUUUGUUUCCUUAAAUGCUGUGUUAGAUAGGAAGAUUUGAUACAGUGUAAAGUACCCACUAUAGGGAUAAUUCUGAGAGUCCCAUGAAAAACAGAGGUCAUAGCACACAUUUCUUAGUCAUUUCCAUAUCUUUUUUUAGGCUUUUAGGAAGAACAAACUGUUAAGAAGAGAUUUCAAACAGAGCAGUGAGAUGACUUUUCGUAUACUUAUGAAAAGAAAAGGGAACAAAGAGGGGAAAGUAUGAAGGCUUUGCAAUAUCAGAGUAUUAGUAUUUGAUGUGAAUAUUCAUCCUAUUAUGCAAAAAUGCAAAAUUAGACUUACCUUCUUAGUCAAUAAUGCUCUGAGGCUUCAGCAAAGGUAGUGGAAUUUAAAAUAUUAAGAUAAAAAUGAUACAUAACUGCAACAUAUUUUAAUGAUUAUUUAUUAAAAUGGCAGUGCAAGUACAAUAAUAACUGAACAUAAUUUCAUAACAUACUAGUUAUACCUUCAUAAUGUUCAUGGACAUAAUGACUUAAUUGGGCUUUUGGGUACCUCACUAGGCAGAAAGUAAAAUGAUAUGCUGCAACAUGCAGUUCCUCCUCAUGCUUUCCUUGCCUUAAACUUGAUUCUCAUU